AUUGGAACACCGGUUCCCGUACGAUCACAGAAUUUGAGCAAUGUCGAGUCUGGUCAGUACCUAGGUGGGUGACCACUUGAGGCUACCAGGUGCUGCAAA